UACGAGGGACCUAGCGUUGUUCGGAAUCAUUGGGCGUAAAGGGUGUGUAGGCGGCCAAGUAAGUCAGUUGUGAAAGCCCCGGGCUCAACCCGGGAAGUGCUUCUGAUACUGCUUGGCUUGAGUAUUGGAGAGGUGAGUGGAAUUCCCAGUGUAGCGGUGAAAUGCGUAGAUAUUGGGAGGAACACCAGUGGCGAAGGCGGCUCACUGGACCGGUUCUGACGCUGAGGCGCGAAAGCGUGGGGAGCAAACGGG
rnacentral:rRNA from 1 species